GGGGCUGAUUCUGGAUUCGACGGGAUUUGCGAAACCCAAGGUGCAUGCCGAGGGGCGGUUGGCCUCGUAAAAAGCCGCAAAAAAAUAGUCGCAAACGACGAAACCUACGCUUUAGCAGCUUAAUAACCUGCUUAGAGCCCUCUCUCCCUAGCCUCCGCUCUUAGGACGGGGAUCAAGAGAGGUCAAACCCAAAAGAGAUCGCGUGGAUGCCCUGCCUGGGGUUGAAGCGUUAAAACGAAUCAGGCUAGUCUGGUAGUGGCGUGUCCGUCCGCAGGUGCCAGGCGAAUGUAAAGACUGACUAAGCAUGUAGUACCGAGGAUGUAGGAAUUUCGGACGC
rnacentral:tmRNA from 2 species